ACAGGGUUACAUGCACAAACUUACACUACAUUCUAUUCUAAGGCAUUGUGGGGGAGAUACAACACCAGGGCAGUUAUUGGCACAAAUGGAAUAUGUUGUGUUCCCGCUGCAGAGUCUGCACUUAUCCUUUUCCACACAUUCACCCCAGAUAUUUUAUACAGUGCCAUUUGGGCAGAAACAACCUGGAACACACAUAUAAUUGCAUGCAGGAUUAGGGUUAUCGCAGGUUGGUGGACAGUUGCUUCCAAAAUCAGUAUAUACUUUGCCAUCUGUACAGUCUGCAAAAGAAGAAUUAAGAACAAGUUAAAAGAAUGUCUGGGAUUAGGAAAACAUGGCUGCUUCCUUCCAAAAGUGUAGUGCCACGCCUUUCCAGAUAAUGUUUGUAGUAUCGGCUCUAUUCCAUGGACAGGAGGGGGCGCUGUUUCUUAAAGCAGCCUUUGUUUUAUAGGAUCAGUCGGACCCUUGGCUGUUGA